CAGAAGCUGUAAUUAUCA
rnacentral:miRNA from 1 species